GAAAGGAGGAAGAUGACUCAGCUGGAGUGUA
rnacentral:piRNA from 1 species